rnacentral:rRNA from 1 species
UGUGACCCCAGGUCAGGCGAGAUUACCCACUAAUUUUAAGCAUAUCAAUAAGCGAAAGAAAAAAAACUUACAAGGAUUUCAUUAGUAAUGACGAGCGAACCAAGAAUAGCCCAACCUUUGAAUCGGGCGACUUCAUCAUCCAAAUUGUAGUCUAGAGAAGUGUCCUCAGUGGCAAACCAGGCCCAAGUCCCCAGGAAGGGGCGCCAGAGAGGGUGAGAGCCCCGUUGUGUCUGGAACCUGUCAUAUCAUAAGAUGUUAUUAACAAGUUGGGUUAUUUGGGAAUGCAUCCCAAAUCAGGUGGUGAAUUUCAUCCAAGGCUAAACACAGGCGAGAGAACGAUAGAAACAAGUACCGUGAGGGAAAGAUUAAAAGCACUUUGAAAAAAAAGUCAAAGAGUGCUUGUAAUUAUCGGGAGAGAAGUAGAUGGGGGCCGGCGAUGCGGCCUGGUUAGAUGUGGAACAGCGACGAGUCGGUCCACCGAUCGACUCAAGGCGUGGACAAGCAUAGGUUAAAAGGGUAGCCAAAGCCUAGGCUCUCAAUUCGUUCAUGGAAUGUCAUCUCCUUGAUUUUGGCAAGUAGCAUGCACCCCUGGUGUGCUUCGGCAUCUGCGCGCUCGGACGUUGGCCUGUGGUCUCCCCAUUCGACCCAUCUUGAAACACAGACCAAGAAGUCUGACAUUUGUACAAGUCAACGGGCGAGUAAACCCGUAAGGCGUAAGGAAGUUGAUUGGUGGGAUCCCCCUGAGGGUUGCACCACCGACUAACCUUGAUCUUUUGAGAAGAGUUUGAGUGUGAGCAUACCUAUCGGGACCCUAAAGAUGGUGAACUACUCCUGUUCAGGGUGCAGCCCGAGAAAACUCUGGCGGAGGCCCACAACAAUACUGACAUGGAAAUUGUUCAUCUGACUUGGGUAUAGGGGCAAAAAACUAAUCAAACCAUCUAGUAAAUGGUUCCCUUUAAAGUUUCCAUCAAGAUAGCUGGAGCUCGUGUACAAGUUCAAUCGGGUAAAGCCAAUGAUUAGAGGCUUCGUUGGCGCAAUACCCUUGACAUAUUCUCAAACUUUAAAUAGGAAGGAUGGCGCGGCUGCUUUAUUGAGUCGUGCCACAGAAUCAAGAGCUCCAAGUGGGGCAUUUUCUGUAAGCAGAACUAGUGAUGCGGGAUGAACUAGAAGCCGGGUUAUGGUGCCAAACUAUGCGCUAACCUAUAUCCCAGAAAGGGUGUUGGUCGAUUAAGACAGUCGGACAGUGGUCAUGGAAGUUGAAAUACGCUAAGGAGUGUGUAAAAACCCACCUGCCGAAUCAAAUAGCCCUGAAAAUGGUUAGAGCACAUGACCUAUACCUAGCCAUAAAGGCAAGUGCCGGGCCUUGAUAAGUAGGAGGGCGCGGUGGUCGCUGUAAAACCUUGGGCACGAGCCUGAGCGGAGCGGCCGUCGGCGUAUAUCUUGAUGGUAGUAACAAAUAUUCAAAUGAGAACUUUGAACACUACAGAGGGGAAAGGUUCCAUGUGAAAGACACUUGCACAUGGGUUAGCCGACCCUGAGGGUCGGGGGAAACCUGACAGAUAGCGUAUUUCGCACGUACUCAAAAAGAGAAUCAGGUUAAGAUUCCUGAACCGGGAUGUGGCGGUCGACGAAAAUGUUAGGAAGUUCGGAGACAUCAGCGGGAGCCUCGGGAAAAGUUAUCUUUUCUGUUUAAUAGCCUGCCUACCCUGGAAUCGGCUGGGUUAGAGGUAGUGUCCAUCUGCUAGAAGAGCACCGCAAGUCGUAUGGUGUAUGGUGCACUCCUGGCGGCCCAUGAAAAUUUGAAGGAUCGAAUACUGUCCAUGCCCGGUCGUACUCAUAACUACAUUAGGUCUCCAAGUUGAACCCUCUGGUCGAUGGAACAAUGUGGGCAAGGAAAGUCAGAAAAAUAGAUCCAUAACUUUGGGAAAAGAAUUGGCUCUGAGGUUUGGGCGCGGGAGUCCAAGUACCAAACCCGUUGGCUAUCGGUGGACUACUUGAGCUGCUUUUGCGGCUAGACUGGGUUGCCACAUGCCGGCCUAUAACACCGUGAUUUUCUAAAUCGGAAUGCUACAUGGUGCUCAUGACCCCGAGGGACCACAAGCUAACCCAUGACUGAUAUUUGUACCAAUACACUGCCUAAUAUACAUAUAAUAUGCGGAAAACCUGAACAUGUAGGCUAUAAGGCUAAAUUGAAGAGAUAUAGUAACAUCCAUGGGGUAAUGAAUACCCAAAACAACUGAAUAUAAAACUGAAUACUGAAUUUGAUAGCUAAACCUGACUAAAUCUAAAAGCCUCUAAGUACUAUCUGAAUAAGAAGUUGAAGGAACAUGUCUCCAACUAACUCCGUAAAACUGAACUGAAGUAAUAAAUGAAUAAAUAAAAUCAUAUUAUCCAUGGAUGGAUAAGGAAUCACUGCAACACUGCGACAGGAAAGCUACUGCUGGUUUGGAAUGCGUGGUUCUGGACCUAUGGUGUAACAUUAAAAUAAAUCACCAUAGCGCAAAUGCGUUAGUACAACCGGAGUACUGAGUAUAUGAGUGAGGUAGGCUAAUGCAAAGGGCUUACAUGCAUGAAUAAUGCUAACUAACUAACUGAUAUGAAUGUAAGAGUACAAACAUACAUACAUAGUAACUAAGAUCGUGAGUACAUGGUAGCUAAAUUUGUAUACUAAUACAUGACUGGAACUGUAGUUUUGAUAACAUGUGCAACUGUGUCUGACAAUCCUAAAUCUGGUAGAACUCUUUGAGUCCCGUGCUAUAAUUGAAUUUGAUUAUAUCUAACAGUCCUGGUAUACUGAUAUCUGAAGAACUGUCUAAGUUCUUUU